CCCACCCCACCCCACCCCGCCGCGCUCGCCUUGAUAAGGAUCUACAAAAAGAGGCCGCAGACAAAGGCAUCCUACGACUCCACUCACUGACGCUCAGCAGCUCUCUGAGUGACCUCCGCAAGCCCCCACACCCGCCUCCCCCGGACCACGGGGGGGGGGGUGACUUGAGAGGAAGAAAAAAGCAAGAAGAAAGAAAAGGCGAGCUGUAGCCCCAUGCUGUGGCUCCUUGAUGAAUGUCCGCCAGGCUCCGGAGGCCUGACGAAGGAUCAAUAGCGGGUGGCUUUUCUCGCGGGGUCUGAACUCCUGUCGUGGGCCUUAGUGAAGAGGAGCCGCCAAUAAAUACAGUGCUGUGGCAUGGUU
rnacentral:lncRNA from 1 species